rnacentral:rRNA from 1 species
AUUGAAUGCUGGCGGCAGGCCUAACACAUGCAAGUCGAGCGAGCGGCGGACGGGUGAGUAAUGUAUGGGGACUGCCCGAUAGAGGGGGAUAACUACUGGAAACGGUAGCUAAUACCGCAUACUAUCGGAUAACCCAUAUGGGAGUAGCUAGUAGGUGAGGUAAUGGCUCACCUAGGCGACGAUCCCUAGCUGGUCUGAGAGGAGGAUCAGUCACACUGAGACCUAGACACGGCCCAGACUCCUACGGAGGCAUCAGUGGGGAUUAUUGCACAAUGGGCGCAAGCCUGAUGCAGCCAUACCGCGUGUAUGAAGAAGGCCCUAGGGUUGUAAGGUACUUUCAGUCGUGAGGCGUUACCGACCGGAGAAGCACCGGCUAACUCCGUGCCAGCAGCCGCGGUAAGAC